rfam:Hydatigera taeniaeformis genome assembly, scaffold: TTAC_contig0001055
CGAAUGCCCGCCUGUCAUUUUGCUCGAACCAGAGUUAUUCUUGGCGUCAUCCAUCUGUCGAAGGAUGUUUGCUAGGUUGGUGAGCAAAGUUUCAGGUGUGCUUUGGC